rnacentral:rRNA from 1 species
AAUCAACGCUGGCGGCGUGCCUCAGACAUGCAAGUCGAACGAUUAAAGCUCUCUUCGGAGAGUGCAUAGAGUGGCGCACGGGUGAGUAACACGUAAGUAAUCUACCUUUGAGUGGGAAUACCGUCCGGAACGGACGCUAAUACCGCAUAAUGCAGCGGCAUCGCAAGAUGACAGUUGUUAAAGAUUUAUCGCUUGAAGAGGAGCUUGCGGCAGAUUAGCUAGUUGGUAAGGUAAUGGCUUACCAAGGCUACGAUCUGUAACCGGUCUAAGAGGACGGUCGGUCACACUGACACUGAACAACGGGUCAGACUCCUACGGGAGGCAGCAGUCGGGAAUUUUGGGCAAUGGGCGAAAGCCUGACCCAGCAACGCCGCGUGAAGG